rnacentral:rRNA from 1 species
CGUGUAGGCGGUCUCGCAAGUCGGAUGUGAAAGCCCUCGGCUUAACCGAGGAAGUGCGUUCGAAACUACGAGACUUGAGUACCGGAGAGGGUGGCGGAAUUCCCGGUGUAGAGGUGAAAUUCGUAGAUAUCGGGAGGAACACCAGUGGCGAAGGCGGCCACCUGGACGGCUACUGACGCUGAGACGCGAAAGCGUGGGGAGCAAACAG